rfam:Microgenomates (Daviesbacteria) bacterium GW2011_GWA2_40_9 TT29_C0020, whole genome shotgun sequence.
GGGCAGUUAGUUCAGCGGUAGAACGCUUCACUGAUAAUGAAGAAGUGAAUGGUUCAACUCCAUUACUGCCCA